ensembl:lncRNA
UGAUAGAUGAGGACAUUCAGGUCUAGUGAAGGUCACUCUGUCUUGCAGCAAAAGAGAGCUUAUUUGAAGUUCAGGCGCUUUGCACUGUGAUGCACUAUGUGUUGAGCUGCUUCAGUUAUGUCCAACUCUUUGUGAUCCCCUGGACUGUAGCCCACUGGGCUCCUCUGUCCAUGGGAUUUCCCAGGCAAGAAAAUUGGAGUGGGUUGCCAUGGUCUCCUCCAAGGGAUCAUCCUGAUCCAGGGACUGAACUUGCAUCUCUUAUGUCUCCAGCAUUGGCAGGCAGGUUCUUUAUCCCUAGUGCCACCUGGGAAGCCCCUGUGAUGCACUGCCUCAUGCCUUUUUUUUUUUUUUUUUCAGACACUACUAAGGAUGUUCCACAGUCCAAUUUCUAGAAUAAUUUUCAGACCUAUACGUUUCCUUUUAGAGCAUUUUCUUGCAUCUCCUCUUCUAGGCUGCUCUUCAUUUAUGGCCCCUCUCUCUCAAACAACUUUUUUUGAACAUGAAGUUUGACCACCAAGACUCUUCUGUCAUAUACAGCUGUAUACAGUCUUUCCUGGCAUCUCUAAGUGGAGAAGAGCUGGAAGACCACUCAGAAUGGAAAGAAGACCAAAUCCUACUAGUCCAAUAUUAGACAUCUAUGAAUGCAAGGUCAGCAGGACCUCUAAACCUAACCACAGAGCUUCCCUACUGCCUUAGACGCCAGCUAAAUUAAAAAUAGAUAUCAUAUAUUAACAUAUAUAUAUUGAAUCUGGAAAAAUGGUAUAGAUCUUAUUUGCAAAGCAGAAAUAGAGAUACAGGUGUAGAGAACAAAUAUAUGGAUACCAAGGGGGAAAAGGGGACGGGAGCAAUUGGGAGACUGACACAUAUACAUUAUUGAUACUACAUAUAAAAUACAUGACUAACGAGAACCUACUGCAUAGCACAGGAGACUCUACUUAACGCACGGUGGUAACCUGAGUGAGUUGGAAGUUCAAAAGAGAGGGGAUGUGUGUAUAUAUAUGGUUGAUUCAAUUUGCUAUUCAGUAGAAAGUAGCACAACACUGUAAGGCAACUAUACUCCAACAAAAAUUAAUUUAAAAAUUGGAGAUUAUGGAUUAGUUUUGAUGUACUGUAUUGUUUUCCUUGCCUGGCAAAUCCCAUGGACGGAGGAGCCUGGUAGGCUGCAGUCCAUGGGGUCGCUAGGAGUCGGAUAAGACUGAGCGACUUCACUUUCACUUUUUACUUUCAUGCAUUGGAGAAAGAAAUG